rnacentral:sRNA from 1 species
UACGACUGUUGCCACCGCAGCCGCAGCCU